UGGGUGGCCUUUUUUUUUAUUAACAGGGCUUCCCCAGUCAUCAGCCGUGUUAACUUGUGAAUCGGGAAGUUGGGUAUGAUUCAUCUGCUGAGAUAUGGAUUAAGAAACAAACAAUGGAGAGCAUACUGAAACUAAAGAAAGAGUCUUCAUCUGAUUUGCUGCAUCGGAUGCUGUCCAUCAGCUUCCUGUGAAUUGAGUCUUCGCAGCCCACCCACUUAGCAAACCAUCACUAUGGUUUCAUUUCAACUGCUCAUCAUGAAUUUGGAAAUCUUCAUUACCCUGCAGAACCUCCACCAUUUCGUGAAUCUCCACCAUGCUUGGAAUUCAAUAUUAUUUGCUGAUUAUGAAAUAUUCCAGUGUUUAUCAUAGUUCCUGCUUCAAAAUUGCCAUUGGAAGCAGCCUUGGCCCCUUCAGGAAAACUACCAUG